rnacentral:rRNA from 1 species
GACGUAGGGCGCGAGCGUUGUCCGGAUUUAUUGGGCGUAAAGAGCUCGUAGGCGGCUUGUCGCGUCGACUGUGAAAACCCGCGGCUCAACCGUGUGGUCUGCAGUCGAUACGGGCAGGCUAGAGUUCGGUAGGGGAGACUGGAAUUUCAGGUGUAGCAGUGAAAUGCGUAGAUAUCUGAAAGAACACCAGUGGCGAAGGCGGUCAACUGGUCCAUUACUGACACUAAAGCACGAAAGCGUGGGUAGCGAACAGG